AAUAAAGUCCUCCUUUUUAUUUUCCUAAACCACAGGAAUGAUAGAUUAUUAAUCAUGAUUAAUGCUCAGUUACAGUGAAUUAUAGUAGAGCAGUGCCUGGAAAUCCCAGUCUGCUUGGUAAACUCAUUUUCUUGCAUAAUAGAAAACUUACCUUGCAUUUAAGAGAACCCAAACAGAUGAAGAUGAAAGCAAUGGAACCACCCAUUUAAUAUAAUUAAAAGAAAAAUUUAAUAGAUAUAUACAUUCUUAGUCUGACACUAUUGAACUUUUUUUGAUACUGUACAAGCAUAAUAGGAGAAAUACAAUUACAAGCAUCUUAAUUGUUCCCGUAUUUUGCUUUGUUCAUGAGAACCAAAGCCUUCUAGAGCUCAGCUGUAGCACUCAGCCUGAAUCCCUAAGCAGCACUGCAAGUUAAGGCAGACUUGUGCGUUGUCUGGACUUUUGGAAGAUGUUGGUUGUUCUAGUUGAUGAUUUCUCAAGAGAAUAUGAAUGAUCAAAGUGCUUUAGGAAGCAGAGGAAAGUCGAAUGAGGUAAUAUAAUAUAUUCCAUCCCUGUAUUUGGGGAUGUACAUGGGAUAAUUUUUGCCAGUCCCACAUCUCAGGGACUUCUUGUACACGGAGAGUAAGGCACCAGAGCGAUAUUGUGGAAAGGCCCAUGGUCAGUCAGAGAACUUAAUAUCCUUUGAGAUAACUGACCUUUGAACUUUUGGAAACCCCCAGAGGCUUUUCCAAUAUUUAGCAAACAUCAAUUCCCCUAAAGUUUACAUCCUAAUCCGUAUUGUGUUCUGAGAACAGAGUGAAGGAGGCAAAAAGACAUUUUUGUCUCAAGGAUGAGACUGCUGGGUCAUUUCCAAGAGGAGAUCCUUAGAGAGCAUCCCAUGGUCCUUUCCUGUGGAAGGUAGCAAUGCAGCUCUCCGUUAUUCUCUCUGUCUCUCUCUUCCCCCAAGCAAUCUGUCAGUGCAUUUCUGGUGCCGGGGAGAGGCGUCGUGUCGGAGCGCUGUUCCCGUUUGCAAAACGGGAACUUCUAUUUGUUGUUCUCAGGAGCUGGUUUCACGCGCUGACAUCUCCCCGGGAGCACAGCUGAGUCCAACAUGUUCCCAACAGCCAUCCACCCAAACGCCUCCUACUCGAGCACCCAGACCUUCCUUCCCAGUAAAUAAAAAAUACAGAGACUGCCUCAAAUUGUUCCAAACGCUUCGGUUUCACUGGAAUGUCUACCCAUGUUCAGAUCUGAUAAAUGGGUGUUUUUCUGCACCAGGAAGUCAGCUUAGUGUGGGAAUAGGAUGACUUUUCAAAGAGUUUCUGGAAUAGUUAAUGGAAAAGUCUGACUGACUUUCUCUGGUGUUAAUAUGUUUAAGUGCUCCUAUGUGUCAUGAAAAUACAAUGUUGCAAUUAACAACUUUAUAGCAGAAAACAAAAUUGUCAUAGGCUGCUGAUUCUCCUGUGUUGUAUGAAAUAACAUGUUUUUCAAGGUUUCAUUGCUCUAAAAGGUCUCAAAAAAUCUACUUCCUAAAGCAAGAAACUGAGCAAUGUGCUCUUGUACAGUUUAGGCAAGGAGAUAUUGCUGCAUUAUUUAAAACACCACCAUGCAGUACAGCAGCAGCUCUCAAUAUAUCCCAGUGUGAUUCCAUUCAUGUUGCUGGGACAUCCUGGCUAAGCAUGGCUAAAGUAAUUCUGGUUUUGACCUUGCCUGUGCCCUGUAGUAGACAUGACCUCAGUAUGCCAACCUAUCAAUUACAACACACAAAAAAAAAUAAUAAAAAAAUAAUCUUUUUGUAUAUUGAUUUCUAUCAAAAGAAAAUAAAAAGGGUUGGAAAAAAUUCCUACAUUUGUGCCAAAAAGCCCCCAGUCCAGUUCCACAGCUGAAUGAGACUUCACUUGCCAUGAGUUAUACUGAUGUGGUCAGUGGGUUUUUUCUUGCAGACUCAGAACUGGAACAAGACAUCCUGGCUUGAAAGGCAAGUUCCCCCUCUCUGAUUCCCUCACUGACAACAUUUUGGGGUAUGCCACCCUCUGGUUUCCCCUCCUGGGCUCCAUCCAGCCAUUGUACAUGAAAUCUCCCUUUUGGAGAUUGGCAUCAAGAGCAAGAACUGCCAAUAUACAUCUUGAUCAGUGCUUCCCUAGGAAAUGACAGCAAGGAGGCUGGAGAGGCACAAGAAGAUGGGAGGGGACACAACCAGAACAGCUGACCCCAACUGGCUAGAAGGAUAUUCCAGACCAUAUGGCAUCAAUAUAAAUUAGGAAGAAAAAGAGCAGGGUUUUCUGCUCAGAUAACUGACUGGGCAUCAGUUGGUGAGUGGCACAAACCAGCAUCUUGCAGUCCUGGAGAAGAGGAGUCUGCAGAUUCCCUGCGUCCUUCUGAAAUUAGAUUUAGUACAGAGGCAUAGGAGGGCUCCAAGUCUAUUUGUGAUAAGGGACAGAGGAUUUAAGAGGUGGUCUGUUCUGCUGAACAGCGACUGCAGCAAUGCAGGUGAUCCAAAGCAGCUCUUGGAGCAACUGUUUAGGAGGAGACUCCACUGAAGGAGAAGGAGAAUUGAUCUCUGACCCUCCUAGGGCUCAUCCACAUCUUACAAGCAAAGGACAAGGGAGCCUGUGGCUCUACUCAAUGCUGGCAUUUGUUCCAAGUCCAUCCUGGCAGUGGCCCUUUGUCUCACGCCCCUGCUGCAAGGAGUCCCAAAGGUUAAUGCUAAACUGUGUGGAAAACUGCAGCAGUUUAGGACCUGUAACUUUUUAAUUUUCCCCUGAGGCAUGUUGGUGUAUCAGCGCAGCAAAACCACCAAGGGAACGCUGCUUUUUAUCCCGUGCCCUGCUGUGCUACCUGUCUGUUAAAUGUAUCACAUGCUCAUCACUGAACAAGCCGUGUGCCAUGUCCGUUCAGUCCUGAGAUGACACAGGCAGAGCUACACCAGACCUGAUGGAUGAAAACUUGUACCUAUGAAGGCUUGAUCUGAACUCACUUGGUCUGAAAGGACUCACAGAACGAUGAAACCCAAACCUCAGGGUUUGACAGCAGUGCUUCAAAAGAGCAAAAGCCAAAGGAAAACAAAACACUUUUUCUUGAUUGUUUAAGGGAUGUAAUAGCCUGCCAAGGAGGGAGUAUCUCUGCAUGCAUGUGCCAGCAGCUUACCUGGAUGGUCCUCACUGCUCGGCGUCACCCCAGGGAGGGCCAGUAGAGGCAGGGAGCUGGUGCGACGGUCUUGGUGGAGAGAAGAAGACAAAAUUGAAGAGGGAUAAAUGUCAAAUAAAUGUGGUCUGGCACAGCUAUCACCCUCAGCCGCUUAGUGACAGUCAUUGACCUCAGGCAUUGUUGCUCUGAGGUCAAACAGAAGCAAGUGCGCUUCCUUGCAGAGGGAGGUUACCUGGCAUGGUGUGCUGUUUGUGUUACCCUCUGUCUUGUUUCAAGAAAGGAAGCAAAAAAUAAAACAACUGCCAGGAGAGAAAGUUCCACCCAAGAAGAGGUGAAGAGGAUCACCAGCAAACACAGCAAUUCAGAUCUCGGCUGUUGGAAGAGUUACAGAAUAAAUAUACGGUAGUGCUGACAUUCAGUGCUGUUUCAUCUUAGCAAAGAGUUUUUAAUAAAGAAAAUUCUUUUCAAGGAAUGCUUUCUGCAGCCAUUCUUCAAAAAGAGGU